rnacentral:rRNA from 1 species
GAUGAACGCUGGCGGCGUGCCUAAUACAUGCAAGUCGAGCGAACAGACGAGGAGCUUGCUCCUCUGACGUCAGCGGCGGACGGGUGAGUAACACGUGGAUAACCUACCUAUAAGACUGGGAUAACUUCGGGAAACCGGAGCUAAUACCGGAUAACAUGUUGAACCGCAUGGUUCAACAGUGAAAGACGGUCUUGCUGUCACUUAUAGAUGGAUCCGCGCUGCAUUAGCUAGUUGGUAAGGUAACGGCUUACCAAGGCAACGAUGCGUAGCCGACCUGAGAGGGUGAUCGGCCACACUGGAGCUGAGACACGGUCCAGACUCCUACGGGAGGCAGCAGUAGGGAAUCUUCCGCAAUGGGCGAAAGCCUGACGGAGCAACGCCGCGUGAGUGAAGAAGGUCUUCGGAUCGUAAAACUCUGUUAUUAGGGAAGAACAAAUGUGUAAGUAACUAUGCACGUCUUGACGGUACCUAAUCAGAAAGCCACGGCUAACUACGUG